GGCGAAGUCUAGCUGGGAAAUGGUGGGAUGAAUGUAAAUCAUGAGUGUGAGUAAUACAGUGUAAAGGAAAAUAAGUGUUUUCCAAGUCCUUAUGAUCUCCAUCAUUCAAAUCAUGGAAUCAUUCCAACCAGGCGAUGAAAGCAGAGUCGAAUUAAUUAACGGUGGCGUCAGUUGACAAGCAGCCUUUAAACAUAUUCUUCAGUUCUUCAUUGGAGAGUAGACUUUUCUUCUCCAACUUUCAAAGGUUUAAUCGGUCAAAUGAACGGAAGGGAUCCAUAUGUCGCAAAAACACAAGAAAAUAGUGAGAUCACUGUAGAGUGAAUACAACAAAAUAGUUAUACUAUGGGUUUUUGUUUUUUAAUUGUAUAUUAUAUCACAAACAUAUAUAUAGGUGAUUUUCAACCACAAAGUUGAUAAAUCACCAUAAUAACAAACACCCUCCAAUAUAA